rnacentral:misc_RNA from 1 species
GAAAUGCGAUAAGUAAUGUGAAUUGCAGAAUUCAGUGAAUCAUCGAAUCUUUGAACGCACAUUGCGCCCGCCAGUAUUCUGGCGGGCAUGCCUGUCCGAGCGUCAUUUCAACCAUCAAGCCCCCGGGCUUGUGUUGGGGACCUGCGGCUGCCCGCAGGCCCUGAAAACCAGUGGCGGGCUCGCUGUCACACCGAGCGUAGUAGCAAUCACCUCGCUCAGGGCGUGCUGCGGGUUCCGGCCGUUAAACAGCCUUACAAAACCCAAGGUUGACCUCGGAUCAGGUAGGAAGUCCCGCUGAACUUCAGC